CCGGUUCAAAUAUUCCACAUGAACAGUCGCUUUACAAAGCCUGUCUUAUUUACCCAGUAGUGGGAGUGAUUGAAAUAGGUUCCUUAAUUCACUUUUAACAUGAAAUUAAAAUAUUUUUGAAAUCGGUCAAAGGAGACCCGAGAAAAAAACUGAUUCAAAUGUUCUCCUCAGAUAGUCACUUAACAAAGUCUUUGGCAUUUGCCCAGUACUGGGAGUUGUCAAAGUAGGUUCUUUACUUCACUCUUAACAUGAAAUCAAAAUAUUUUUGAAAUCAGUCCUUGGGGUCCAGAGAAAAACCGGUUCUAAUAUUCCACAUGAACAGUCGCUUUACAAAGCCUGACUUAUUUGCCCAGGAGUGGGAGUGAUUGAAGUAGGUUCCUUACUUCACUUUUAACAUGAAAUUAAAAUAUUUUUGAAAUCGGUCAAAGGAGACCCGAGAAAAAAACCGAUUCAAAUGUUCUCCUCAGAUAGUCACUUAACAAAGUCUUUGGCAUUUGCCCAGUAGUGGGAGUGGUCAAAGUAGGUUCUUUACUUCACUCUUAACAUGAAAUCAAAAUAUUUUUGAAAUCAGUCCUUGGGGUCCGGAGAAAACCCGGUUCUAAUAUUCCACAUGAACAGUCGCUUUACAAAGCCUGUCUUAUUUACCCAGUAGUGGGAGUGAUUGAAAUAGGUUCCUUAAUUCACUUUUAACAUGAAAUUAAAAUAUUUUUGAAAUCGGUCAAAGGAGACCCGAGAAAAAAACUGAUUCAAAUGUUCUCCUCAGAUAGUCACUUAACAAAGUCUUUGGCAUUUGCCCAGUAGUGGGAGUGGUCAAAGUAGGUUCUUUACUUCACUCUUAACAUGAAAUCAAAAUAUUUUUGAAAUCAGUCCUUGGGGUCCGGAGAAAACCCGGUUCUAAUAUUCCACAUGAACAGUCGCUUUACAAAGCCUGACUUAUUUGCCCAGGAGUGGGAGUGAUUGAAGUAGGUUCCUUACUUCACUUUUAACAUGAAAUUAAAAUAUUUUUGAAAUCGGUCAAAGGAGACCCGAGAAAAAAACCGAUUCAAAUGUUCUCCUCAGAUAGUCACUUAACAAAGUCUUUGGCAUUUGCCCAGUACUGGGAGUGGUCAAAGUAGGUUCUUUACUUCACUCUUAACAUGAAAUCAAAAUAUUUUUGAAAUCAGUCCUUGGGGUCCGGAGAAAACCCGGUUCUAAUAUU